AAUAUUUUUAAUACAAACCAUUUUUCCUUUCAUCAUCUGACAUUUUUGUCUAGUUUUGGGUUGCACCCGAGGUAAAUGAAUCAUACCAAAUACUGAUAGAAAAUCAUACAUUUUCCUCACGAAACCAAACUUCUAAACUUUCCUACAAUAAUUCUUUGAAUUUGCACACACGGCUUAAUUGAACUUUUCAACAUUGGAUCCCCUAAUUAUACAUAACUCUCAGUUUAUACGAACUAGUUCUCCUUGGACUGAUGUCCGCGUUCCACUUGGACGGCUGCCAGUCACCAUGAUGGACGAGCUAGUGGCCAAGUGCGGCCAAAGCCACCGGGGGACUGUAGGUGCUUGUGCUUAUUCUCAGCUGCGAAUUCACACAAGGUGGAUGUGAUUAGAGGAAGCAUGGUUCAUGGGUGACCUUCAUCUUGCCGCCGGAUAUGGGCUGCUCGCGCUCGUGGAGGCCGUCGACCGGACUCGAGGUAGCACCACUCGUGGACGGAGAUCAAUAGAGCCUGACAUGCACUACAACCCAAUCCAAUCCUGUCAUAUAACAAGGAACAAAUAAUAAUUUAUAUUUUGUUAAUUUCUGAAGGCAUAUGUACAACAAAUUAGAACUUCAAAGAGGUAUUUUUUUCAUACAAACUGUGUCCAUGCUAUAGGUUUGAAUAAAUUGAGAGAGAGAGAGAGAGAGAGAGAGAGAGAGAGAGAGAGAGAGUAUUAUGUACUAAAUUCAUGUGGAGAGCAGAGCAGCUGCGCGUCUAGGAUGGGCUACCCCGGAGCAAAGCUCGCUCUCCCAUUUGUUGGAUGACUUAACUUGGACGGCACCCAAUGCUCGACCUGGACGGCGCCCAACGCUCGACUUGGACGGAGGAGUUGCUACCCUCGGGAGGUUCCUCGCGUGUACGGUUCAUCUUGUUGGGCUGCCAAAAUAGACACAAAAAAUCACGUCGAAGCAAAUCAUCAUAAACCUUUUUACAAAACUGCUUGCCAAAUCCUGGUUUAGUGAAUUUACUAUAUAAUAUACUGCCGAACUGUUUAUUUAACACAAAUAGAACUUUUUUGUAAUACACACAGAUAUAGCAUACAACAUAUUCAUAACAUCACUUCUCCUAACUGCAUUAUGAUCUAUCCAUUCAAGAGAGUUUGAACUUGCUAGCAUCAUCUUCUAACUGCAGCCAUCCCAUUAACUUUUACAAAACAAUUCUCAAUAUGGAGCAAAUAACAACAGGAAGGAGGCCUCCACCAUGCACAUACAACAUCAACAUGCUAGUUAGACUGCCCCUUGUGAGCCUCCAAAGCAAAUGUGUUACAUCUAGGUGAUAUCUCUGUACUUAUAAAGUUUUUGAAGGUGAACUAUAGCAAAUUUUUAUAGUCCACAUAAAAGUAAUACGUGUACUGCUCCAUAGCAAAUGUUUUAUAGUCCACAUGUGCAUAAAAGUUAGCUUUUAUUUAACAACAAAGAACCAUCACAAAAGAUUAUUUUAGUUCUUCUAGGCAUAUCAACAAACAGCUUGCGAGCAACAGGAAUAGAAUAAGUUCUCCCAUGCAAACUGAAGAAGUUCUCUAAGCAGAAGAAUAAACAACUAGACUCCCGUCCUGGACCCUUAAAGAUGAAAAACGCUGCCAAAAUUCUAUUUCAUGCAAAUUUUGUGUCUACUUAUUUGGAUAUCUGCAGCAACCAUGUCAUACACUAACGAAAUAUCUUCGAAAUGAGACCAAUCAAAGCACACAGACAACCCGCAAUCAUCAACUAAAGUUGUGUUCUUCAGUUACUCUGACCAAGUUCGGUUUUCUUCAGAAAAUAGAUGAAAAAUAGCAUUGACUUUGCCAUAUAUAUUUUUAGCAUGUAUUGGGACGGAUAGGUGAUGAGAAGAUGGACCUUCUUACGGUGGAGAAAACUACCAUCGGGGGCUGGUAGGAAGGCGUACUUGUGGAGGCUCUCAAUGGUGCAGCUUGGUCCCCGGCGAGUCCCAGGCGCCUCUCACUGUCUCAAACUGGAAAAAGACCGAAGGCGAUGGGGUAGGACAGACGCCGGCUACCGGAUCGUUGAAGGUAUGAUUCAAGAGCAACAUCAGUUCAGUUCAAAAUAAAUUGGCAGUAUAUGAAUUUUGUGCUAAGCAAGCAUACACAUCAGCACAAUGGAAUGCCUUGGUGAAAUGCACUCACUCAGUUCCCAUAUAGGCCAAUAAGCAAAUUAGAACACAAAGUACGAAGAAAGCAGAGCAUCAGUGCUUGUGCGGCAUGGAUCCGUCAACCCUUUUGCAUCCUAGUUCCAGCCAGCAUGAGCUAGCACGUCCUGGAUCAAGCUGCAGUAGUGCAACACAACGCAUCAGAGAGAUUAAAAGGUGAGUAGCAGCAUGUACAGGAAGGGGAGAAAGCAACUAUAGCACAUGAGCAUCCACGGGCAGAGAGAGAUGCAGCAACUUAUCUCCACUUGAGACUAAACUUAUAUAAAUUUUAUUGUUGAACUUUCAGAUAUCUUUACA
rnacentral:lncRNA from 1 species